UUAUGCCAUCAUUCAGUUGGGCACUUUAGAGAGACUGCCGGUGUUUAAGCCGGAGGAAGGUGGGAUGACGUCAAGUCCUCAUGGCCUUUAUGUCUAGGGCUACACACGUGCUACAAUGGGUGGUACAAAGAGCAGCUAACUCGCGAGAGUAUGCAAAUCUCAAAAAGCCAUCCUCAGUUCGGAUUGGAGUCUGCAACUCGACUCCAUGAAGUUGGAAUCGCUAGUAAUCGCGGAUCGGCAUGCCCGCGGUCGAAUACGUUCCGGGCCUU
rnacentral:rRNA from 1 species